UACGUAGGGUGCGAGCGUUAAUCGGAAUUACUAGGCGUAAAGGGUGCGUAGGCGGCGCGGUAAGUCGGGUGUGAAAUCUCGGGGCUUAACUCCGAAACUGCAUUCGAUACUGCCGUGCUUGAGGACUGGAGAGGAGACUGGAAUUUACGGUGUAGCGGUGAAAUGCGUAGAUAUCGUAAGGAAGACCAGUGGCGAAGGCGGGUCUCUGGACAGUUCCUGACGCUGAGGCACGAAGGCCAGGGGAGCAAACGGG
rnacentral:rRNA from 1 species